ensembl:lncRNA
GCGUGUGUGUGUGUGCGUUUCUUCAGCAGAUGUCGCUGUUGUAUCAGUUUUUCCUCAUUCUUCAGGCUGAUAUGUAAAUAAAGCGGAAGUAGGGGGCGGAGUUUGGGCUCGGGGGGCGCUUCCGGUGGCUCCUUCUCUCUCCGAAGCCUCCAGUGGCGGAGAUUCAGCAGCUCGGGAGAAAGGAAUAAUAAUAAGAAGGAUAAUGAUGAUGAUGAUGAUCAUGAUACCGAUACCGAAGUUAUCUUCCCGAACCGAGCCGAGAGCGCGUGGCCGGGAGGAAAGGAGCGCGUAACCGCGGCGCGCGGAGCCGUGCCUGUGUGUGCGCGCCCCCGCCCCGCUUCCCUCUCUGAUUAAGGCUUUAUUCCAGCAGCAGCAGCAGUGUUAAUGACCCUCUCACUGCUCUGGACUUGUCUAGUGUGUGUGUGUAGAGUGAGUGAGUGAGUGUGAGUGAGUGGUGUGUGUGUGUAGAGUGAAUGUGGUGUAGAGUGUGUGAGAGAGUGAGUGUGUGGAUUUAAUCUGGGAGUGAAUAUGAGUGAGGAGACGAGCAAUGUUCCGAGAGAGCUGCUGGAGAGCGUUCGGGAUGCAGUGGGGAGGAAAAUCAAGCUGGGCCUUAAGAAGAAAGUCAAACUGGAGGUCAAAGGAGAUAAAGUAGAGAACAGAGUCCUGGUGAGUAGCAGCUCCACGACACACACACACACACACACACACACACACACACACACACGCACUUGGAUCUCAAUUCUAAACCCUUCUCAGGAUUGAUUUUUGCUUUACACCUUUGUCUCUGAGUGAGAUGGAGAACGCUCAGGCUAAACGCUUUAGCGCUAGCACGUUCAACUCGUCUCUGAGGAGAAAUCUGGACGUGGGUCACCUGACCCCGAGCGUGAAGCCUGCAGGCAGUGCUCAGCGCUCAGCGCUCAGUGUUGAGUGUUCGGUGGGUUCUGGCGGUGAUGUCGGAGGAGAGAGGAGGAACCUCGAGGCUCUUUUUGCUAUUAAUAGAGCUGGAGCUCAGCCGAGUCCACGCUGUAGUGCAGCUCUCCUCCAGCCGCAACCCC